AGCGAACGCUGGCGGCAGGCCUAACACAUGCAAGUCGAACGAACCCUUCGGGGUUAGUGGCGGACGGGUGCGUAACACGUGGGAACGUGCCUUUAGGUUCGGAAUAACUCAGGGAAACUUGUGCUAAUACCGAAUGUGCCCUUCGGGGGAAAGAUUUAUCGCCUUUAGAGCGGCCCGCGUCUGAUCAGCUAGUUGGUGAGGUAAUGGCUCACCAAGGCUACGAUCAGUAGCUGGUCUGAGAGGAUGACCAGCCACAUUGGGACUGAGACACGGCCCAAACUCCUACGGGAGGCAGCAGUGGGGAAUCUUGCGCAAUGGGCGAAAGCCUGACGCAGCCAUGCCGCGUGGAUGAUGAAGGUCUUAGGAUUGUAAAAUCCUUUCACCGGUGAAGAUAAUGACUGUAGCCGGAGAAGAAGCCCCGGCUAACUUCGUGCCAGCCGCCGCCGUAA
rnacentral:rRNA from 1 species